rnacentral:rRNA from 1 species
AUGAGUAUUCCACCUGCGGCCUCGUUACCGUACCACGCCAUCUUCGACAUCCUCUCCAGGAUGCCCGUCAAGUCUGUCUGCCGGUUCCGAUGCGUGUCCAAGGGGUGGCUGGACCUCCUCUCCAACAACCCGGUCUUCGCCGCCGUGCACAUGCGCCGCCACGGCCCGCUCCUCGUCGGCUCAGGAUCCUUCCAGGAGGAAGAGCCCGCCGGAGGCCGUGACAUGCGUCUCCUGGACGUGGAUGGACACGUCGUGAGGGUCAUCAAGGGCGCCGGUGGAUUCGGGAUGAUGUGUAACACCAGCGUCAACGACCUCGUCUGCGUCAAUGGCGCUUCCUGCGAUGGCGUCCAAGUGGUCGAUCCAGCCACCGGGGAGGUGCUGGUGAGGUGCCCACAAUUGGAGGUGGUGGUCAAGCACCACGAGGUCCCUCUUGUGGCCACGCGCUACUACAACAUCUUUGGCUUCGGCCCCGCCGCCUUGUCCAGUCAGUACAAGCUGAUCCGCCUCGUC